GCCCGGAUAGCUCAGUCGGUAGAGCAUUGGA
rnacentral:ncRNA from 7 species